AGUCAAGANANUUNCUAAGUGACUGUUUCCAUAUUCGGGGAACCUAGGUUGAAUAAGAACAUAAUAGGUAAUCCUGAGCCAAAUUUUNUNUACNNAAUAGGUGCAGAGACUCAAAGGGAACUAUCCGGUUGAAAAAACUAUAUAUAAUAUUUAGCGANANAUAUAAAUNACAUUAUUUUAAUAAUUUAUUAUUACAGAUUAUAUUAGAUAUGGAUAAAGAUAGAGUCCUNUUUUACAUGCUAUAUUCGGUUAGCAACGAUGCAAAUCAUUGUAAAAAGAAAAUCCGUUGGCUUUUUAGACCGUGAGGGUUCAAGUCCCUCUACCCCCA
rnacentral:tRNA from 1 species